rnacentral:rRNA from 1 species
AAUAGAUACCCCGGUAGUCCACGCCGUAAACGAUGAGUGCUAAGUGUUAGAGGGUUUCCGCCCUUUAGUGCUGAAGUUAACGCAUUAAGCACUCCGCCUGGGGAGUACGGCCGCAAGGCUGAAACUCAAAGGAAUUGACGGGGGCCCGCACAAGCGGUGGAGCAUGUGGUUUAAUUCGAAGCAACGCGAAGAACCUUACCAGGUCUUGACAUCCUCUGAAAACCCUAGAGAUAGGGCUUCUCCUUCGGGGGCAGAGUGACAGGUGGUGCAUGGUUGUCGUCAGCUCGUGUCGUGAGAUGUUGGGUUAAGUCCCGCAACGAGCGCAACCCUUGAUCUUAGUUGCCAUCAUUAAGUUGGGCACUCUAAGGUGACUGCCGGUGACAAACCGGAGGAAGGUGGGGAUGACGUCAAAUCAUCAUGCCCCUUAUGACCUGGGCUACACACGUGCUACAAUGGACGGUACAAAGAGCUGCAAGACCGCGAGGUGGAGCUAAUCUCAUAAAACCGUUCUCAGUUCGGAUUGUAGG